UUGGUUUUUGAACGUCAUUCCUCCUCACGUCAUUCGCAAAUGUUUUUUUUUUAUUCCGUGUUAGUGCCGCGAAGCAACUGUGGCUAUGAGCGGCGUACAGACGUGGACAGAUGGAGGGAGGACAGCAGGAAGGAGUGGGGGGCAGAGGAGACCCACAAAUGCUCCUGCUGAAGUCACCUGCGUGAGUGCUGAAGUGAAACUGGACAUGAUGACGAACGUAGGAAGACACGCUCUGUGUCUAUCGUUUUGUCCGUCUCUCCCUGCAUUCAUGUCCUGAAAUGCUGAACACUGUAUGAGCAGGGGGUUAAGCUACUAUUGAACCAGUUACCACCUCAGACCCAAACUAAGUGGCAGAAAACAAGCACUUCAUAUGUGGAUGGAAUGAUGAGGAUAUAGUAUGUAUCACGCACCAGUCUGUAAAAUAGGCCACCUCAAUAAAGGCACAAACAGUGAACGCA